UGGUAACAAAGUUCAAGGUUAUAUAUCACAUAGUAUGAGGCAUUGUGUUCAAUAGAAAGAAACUUCACCACGUGUAAAGAGUUAAGAAAUUAUUAUAACAAGGUGUUUAUCAUCUGUUAGACUCUCUUUACGAGUGACUUGCAUAUGACCUACUCUUUAACUUCAACAUACUUCAACAUAAUAUGAACGAGAGAGGCAUAUCCAGAGAUGAGAGAGAAAGAAAGAGAGAGGGAGAAAAGGAUUGAUAGGAGAAAUGAUGAGACUGUUGCACUCCAUGACGUCAAUUAACUUCUCCGACAGCGCAUCAUAUCACCUCCGAAAACCACCAAUCAACCAUUCUUACAAAGCCAAGACACAUAUCUACCUUAGUACAAACAACAUUUAAAUUCACCUCACAUUGGGCUCCUUAUAAAUUUCACAGCACAACAAUCGGCUAUCUCACCUUUGAUAGUGCAUCUUCGUCAAGAUUACAAAGUGCCUCUGUUUUUUUCAAUAUGUCUUUUUCAAAGCAAUUUCCGCGACACUGUCAAGUGGAAAAGAAGGAAUACACCCUAGAGUUGGACAAAAAAAUAAGAGGUAUAAGAUUUUUCAUCACUGAACAAAGUGCAUACAAAUCACUCAUACUAGUGGUCACAGUGGAAUAAGUUGAAUGGAUGAAGAAAGUCAUGUUUACUUUGAUCAACACCCUAAAGAACAACAGAUUCUUUCAGAAAAAAAGAGAUAACAGACAAUGUAUGUGGAUUAGUAAAACGCAAAAUAAGAAAGGGAACUUAGCUGAGAUCUUCAAGGUGGACGAUAAAGGAAGAAAAUGCUAUAAAUUGGUGCAAGAAAGUGUUGAAAUAACAUGAUGGAGCAAUUUUUUAAAAAUGCUAAACUACAAGGCUGAAAGAGAAACGAAAGCAUUGCAUGCAGGGUACCAUAGUCGCAAGUUUGAAGUGGACACAUCAUCAGCAGAAUCGGAUACAGAUGAAAGGAAUAAAAAAAGAACAUAUGCAGAAGUGUUAUAUUCCGAAAGUAACUACGACAGCUCAACAGAAAGCGAUAAAUAUAAAGAGAUGAACUCUAAGAAAAGUGAUGAAAGUGAAAAAGCUCAAAGAAAAGGAGACAGGAAAAUACCUAUAGAGUGGGAAAAAGCAGUGAGCAUAACAAGGUGCUAUUUGCACGAUGACUGGGAAGAGAUAUUGGACAAGCUAGCUAAACAGAUUGAAGUCAAGUUCACAUACCAACCUUUUCACGUUGAAAAAGCUAUCAUUCUUCUACAAGGCAAUCAAUAAGCCCGUUUGCUAUGUAGUAACAAAGACUGGACUAUAGUUGGCAAAAACUAUGUGAAGUUUGAAACAUGGAAUAUAAAGACAUUCACACAAAUCAGGAACUCAUGUGGAGGAUUAGAAGAUGUUUCAAAAGCCACAUGGAAGAAACCUGACUUUAUCGAAGAAAGAUUCAAAGUUAAACAGAACUACGCAAAAUUCAUACCAGCCGAAAUCAACAUCACGGAUGAAAAAUUAACAUUUUUACUAUACAAACUGUGACUUAUACAGAAGGAAGAUGGCUCAAAGAAAGAAGAACAAGCAUACAUGGAACUUUUACCCCACAAUCUGUUAAUAGUUUUGUUGAAUUCACUCCAAUGUCGAACAAUAUAACUUCAUGGAAUUUGUUGCAAUUCCAUCGGAGAAGAAUAUAAAAAAAAAAAAUAGAAAAGAUUUAGGAACUGACUGAAAAAAAGAAAACAAGGAAAAAAAAUUCAAAUUAAAAAAACACAGCUUCCAAGGCUAUCAUCAUAUCAGACAAUUUUAACGGAGACAGAGGGAAGGAUGGCAGGCUGAAAUCGGUCAUUGAAGGAAAACUUGAUGAAGGGAAGGGAAUUAUGUUAUACAUUGAGGACUCUGAUUUUAUGUAGCCAAAUAUCAACACAAAAAGAAAAAUCAGUUUUCCCUUCCCAAAAAACAAAAACUUUCUACUAUAAUCCUAGCAAUGCACCAGUCAAACCUCUCCUUAUACACAGUCCAACACAACAUCAAAGAAAUUCAGCUCAUUUCCAAAGUCAACCUAUGCCACUACGUAUUAGUGCACCAAAGCCAAGGACUACUUAUAAACAGAAGAAAAGUCCAAGACUUGUUUACUGAGUCAGUAGCUCACAGAAAG
rnacentral:lncRNA from 1 species